CACUCGGACUCGAUCUGCUCACGCCCAGCGGCCAGCUACCCGCCUCCCUCGACCUCGCCGUUGCGUAUAUCGUAGUAUCAAUCACUAUACCGCCGGUGGUUCUGGUUCGUACGUCUGGAUUUCUCCUCACCCUCAGUCAAAGCGGUCCAAUAGCAUCGCGCUAGCUGCUGAGCGCUGACAGCCAGACCAGCACUACUGCACUAGCAUAGUACCUACCACCUUCCUUGUAGCUCCGUGAUGAAAACAGAUGCAGUAUAUAUGUAUGCACCACCGCAUGCAUGUCAUGUGCUCUGCUCCGGUCCGGUCGUCGCCGAUCGGUCUGCACCAUACGUACCACACUCAACCACAUGUUCAUACACGCGGAAGUUAAGUGUUUCCUCUCCUCUUCCAUGGAAGAAAGCUGCUGUCCUCGCUUUCCCUUUUCGUUCCUCCGCUCUCCUUCGUCUUCGACCGCGUCACGCGUGACUCGCCGCGUCCUUUUCUUGUACAGAAAAUUAUGCGUGCAUGCCCAAUACCACCGGUCAUGCAGGGCAUGUCGAUGGUUUUCUAAACGCUCUUAUAUUUCUUUACUGAGGCAGUACUAACUCAACUCUUACCUUCAUAAGAAAACGAUACUUCUCUUUCUUUCGCUUUUUACCGGUCUCUGAUUUCUCUCCUCUCCAAGACUCCAAGCUACAACAACUGUUCUGCGGCCCUCCCUUCCCUUUCCUUUCGUCUGCUCCUCGGUCUUUCUCACCCGUCACAUGCGACGCAUCCCAUCGAAAGAAACUCAACAGACCGUGCCAUCCCCGCGCCAUCCUUCAAAUGGAUGGAUGGAACAAGACGCGUGAGGAACUCAUGGAGGCGGAGUUUCUAGCGCCAAAGGGCUUUCUCUUCUUCGUUCCUUCAACGUGUUCUCGCCCCCUCCCGCCAUGUUUUUUUCUUAAUGAUCUGAAGCGAAUAAAUAAAAGUGCAUGGUGAUGGUGCUGGAUAAUUAAUUUCAAAAGCACUUAGUACACACUACUCCCUUCAGUGGCGUUGCCAGAAAUAAAAUGAUGGGUGUGCACACUCCAAAAAUAGUUAAUUGAGCUAGUGACCAUUAUGCUUGGGGCUAUUUGAAAGGAUUAAUUGAGCAAAACUCAUAUAUGGUAGAAAAAUACCUCAAAAUUCAAGGUGUGCCACGGCAACCCGCUGGCUACGCCACUAUUCCCUCCAUCUCAUAAUACAAGAUCAUUUUUUACACUAUAUCAUAGUGGAAAAAAAUGAUCUUCUGUUAUGGGAUGGAGGAACUAGUAUAUAGACGGAAAACAUUUUGUAUCAGUAGUCUGAUAGUAGGAAGCAAUCCUCAGACCGCAUGAAAUCUGUCAAUUUCUAAUUAAUCCCACGGUCAAGGCCCAGUCGUGCUAGCCACCUGUAUUUGACGAUGCCCCUAUUUCCUUCCCGUUCCAUCUCUCCCAAACCUGUUCCUCCCUCAUGCCUCCGCCGGACCUUCAUCCGAGCUCGCCGUCAACCACGACGCCCCCGCCCUCUCCGAGUACGCAGCCAUGUCGUGCACAACGUUGACACCUCUUCGCCGGAGACACAAUUCACCCCCGACGAUGCAAUCCACCACGCGCCCAGCUCUGUUCCCGUCUACGGCUCUACCGAUCUAGUCCUCGACGCGGCCCCAAGUGACCUCGGUGGUGCACCAUCCCGACAUUAAUUAGAUGGUCGUGCCCACCCUCUCCACUGUGUUUGUUGCAUCGCGAGGUGCCUGGACCCUGGAGGUCUGAACCGAAUGCCAGAGUACGUACCUCCCGUGGGCCGUCGGGCGGAGAAGCAGCAUUGAUUUUUUGCCCCUUUUCGAAGUUUCUCCUCUGAAUCAAACGUAUUGCAAUGCGUGGAAUCGACCAUUGUUCCAUCAUCAUGGGUCCCCACUCACAGAUCAUGCACAAGAUGAUGUUUCCGGUAACCAUGCAUGCUUCGUAAGCUUCAGAUAUGUGUGCUUCAACAUUCCAAUUUGUUUGCAUCGACGGAUGACACAGGUUUGUAGAUCAAAAAAAUGAUCGAUGCACACACAUGUUAGCAACAUUCGUUGCUAGCUUCAAGUUACAAAAUUCUAUGCUUCCACUAGGUAUGAAUUACAUUGAGAUAGCAACAAAUUUGAUGCUUCUUAAUAUCCAUGCUUCCUAACUUUAUCGUACUUUCUUUUGAUCCAGAUAGUUUGCUGCAAUGAAACAUACUUCUACUAUUUUUAUACAUGUAUCCACUACUGCAUUGUCAAGAAAAUUGCUUGUAUUCGAACAUUGUCAUCAUGCUUCAUAUAUUUCAUAUAUGUGCUGACAGGGCAGACACUUGUUUUUUCCUUCUGGAAUAAUGCCAAAUCAAAUCUAAAAAUUGUACAUAAAUCAAUGGUGGUCUAAUAUAGCAUGUAGAAAGAGUACAUGCUUCCUUACAUGGGAUUCUCUGCUUCUACACUACUGUACCACAUACAUCCGGUGGGCACCACUGUAGACAUAUCUGGAGGCGACCGAUGCAUGUGCCAGUAAGUGUGAUGUCACUUGGAUUUGCCUUACAAUGAGGAGGACCGCAAGCGAAGUAAAGCAAGACUAUGGUUUUUAGACCUCAAUAUACAAUGUUAACUUAGGAAGCAUUGCAUGCACUUUUGGUGACUUGAAGGAAAUAAAUUUGUAUUAUAUCUGAAACUUAUUGUAUGAACUAACGAAGCAGGAAACAAACUUAUAUCCAGUUAAAAGAAAACCAUGGAUACACUUUAGCAUUGGACGGAAGCAAAGUUUUUCUUUUG